UGGGCCUUGGGAGAGGGAGGGGGAGCAGAAACCCUAGCUCCGGUUUCCAAGCUAUUUAACUCUCUUUUGGGAAGGAGUGCCAAGAGUUGAUCCAAGAGACAGAAACGUCCGGAAACAUCAUCGCCAUCCUUGGUCGGCUGUACAGCAGGAUCGAAAAAUACUGCGGAGCCAGGCCAGGACACGGUAGGAGUCAGUUGGAUCUUUGGUUGAGCAUGGAAUAUUGUUCAUCUUCCAAGAGACCGAAAAAAACGAGCUCCUGGCAUACAGGUACGAAGCUUGCCAAGGUGUUGUCUCAGCUAAUCCUCACCCCAGCUCUGGAAAGGCAGCCCUCGUUUCCAUGACUUCGCAGAAUGGGGGUUCAGGGACACGUUCAAGGACAAACUAACAGCAAGUAGCCAUGGCAGGCCUUGGGACCCAGGCCAGCUGUCCUUUGUAGUGUUCCGCCAUGCUGUCCCCCUCUCUGGCAGCAAUGUGCUGCUUUCUUUAGGAUGACCAUGCAGUGAAGGCCACAGGGAGACAGGACAAAUGCACAUUAGUUUCAGGCACAGAACCUCGGGAGGUGUGCAGAAUGGCCAUUGUGUCUUCAGCCUUUCAGAUCCAAUGUCUAUGUUAGUGCACACAUUUCAUGUCCUCUGUGAAACUUACAGGGAACACCAGUGUGAUGAUUAAAAAAAAAAUAAUAAAAGCCAAACCAAAUGCUUUAGUGACAAGAAAAAGAAAUAAAAGGAAAAUAGUUUGAAACAAAUAAAUAAG